AGAGCCACUGAGUUUGAGACUGUAAGAGCAGGACGGGGCUCUGAAGACCCCCCUCGCCCAACCCCCUCAUUUUACAGAAGAGGCAACUGAGGCCCAGAGAGGGAGAUCCCAGAGUGACAAUGCCAAUUAGGGCUGGGACUGGGACCCAGGUCUCCAGCCACCACAGUGCCCUGCCUCUGCCAGAAUCAAAACCCACCCGCCAGAGGACAUGCACUUGAGAACACACCCUUUAGCACUUUCUGCUGUCAGUUACAUGGCUCAUUCUCCAUUGACAGACAGAAUAGAGGAAUUCACUGGAAAGGAGAACCACUUCACAGCAACGUUUUACAAGAAGCCUGAUGGUGGGAUGGAGCCCGUCAUUCAUAUUAAUGAGACAUGCAUGGAAGUGGCAAUGAGCAUGUGGAGUGUGGCUAAAAGAAAUGUGGUUCUUCACUUGGAGCUGAUGUGAAACACAGGCAAUCUGUUGGCCUACUGAGAGGAACUUCUUUUAAAAGCCAAGAACAAGAAUACCACCCAAAGACAUCUGUUCCUCUCAUCCUUUAGUGAAGUGCAGAUGGAGAUUCCUACAUGGUUUUGUUGUCAUCAAUACCUUCAAGUGUUUCCUUCAGAAAAUCCUUUGGUGGAGAGUUUAAUACAGUAGGGAGGAAGCUUUUAGGUAUGUAUAAUAUUUCCUUUUCUGUCAUUAAAUAUUAAAACUUUUGUUGGAAUGCAUUCUAAGCAUCAUCUUUGGUAAAGAUUUUAUUCAACUCACCCAUCUG
rnacentral:lncRNA from 1 species